rnacentral:misc_RNA from 1 species
GAUGAAGAACGUAGCGAAAUGCGAUACGUAAUGUGAAUUGCAGAAUUCAGUGAAUCAUCGAGUCUUUGAACGCACAUUGCGCCCCCUGGUAUUCCUUAGGGCAUGCCUGUUCGAGCGUCAUUUACAAAUUCAAGCUCAGCUUGGUGAUGGGUGUCUGUCCCGCCUUUGCGUGUGGACUCGCCUCAAAUGCAGUUGGCAGCUUGUUCCUCGGCUCUAAACGCAGCAGAUUUGCGUCGAGCGUCGUGCGGACGGGCUCUCCAGUAAGCAAACCCCCACAAAUUGACCUCGGAUCAGGUAGGGAUACCCGCUGAACUUAAGCAUAUCAAUAAGCGGAGGA